AUACGUAGGGUGCAAGCGUUAAUCGGAAUUACUGGGCGUAAAGCGUGCGCAGGCGGUUUUGUAAGACAGUGGUGAAAUCCCCGGGCUCAACCUGGGAACUGCCAUUGUGACUGCAAGGCUGGAGUGAGGCAGAGGGGGAUGGAAUUCCGCGUGGAGCAGUGAAAUGCGUAGAUAUGCGGAGGAACACCGAUGGCGAAGGCAAUCCCCUGGGCCUGCACUGACGCUCAUGCACGAAAGCGUGGGGAGCAAACAGGAUUAGAUACCCUGGUAGUCCACGCCCUAAACGAUGUCAACUGGUUGUUGGGGAUUUAUUUUCUCAGUAACGAAGCUAACGCGUGAAGUUGACCGCCUGGGGAGUACGGCCGCAAGGUUAAAACUCAAAGGAAUUGACGGG
rnacentral:rRNA from 1 species